UGGGGAAUUUUCCGCAAUGGGCGAAAGCCUGACGGAGCAAUGCCGCGUGGAGGUGGAAGGCCUACGGGUCGUCAACUUCUUUUCUCGGAGAAGAAACAAUGACGGUAUCUGAGGAAUAAGCAUCGACUAACUCUGUGCCAG
rnacentral:rRNA from 1 species